rnacentral:rRNA from 3 species
UACCCUGAACGGUGGA